AUAAACCGCCGAUGAUGUUAAGAUGUUCAAAAUGUUAAAAUCUAAUAAUUUUACAUCAGCUUUAUAGAAUCAAUUCUAAAAGCCUUUUUAUUUGCUUUACAUUACGCUAUGUUUGCUUUAUAUUGGUGGUUAAAAAAUACAAAAACGGCAAACGUCACAGUGCAGACGCCCUCUUAGAUGGGGGGAGGGUUAAUGUAUUAUGUUAGUAUCUGUACAGUGCGACCGUUUAUUUGUACCGUGAUAAGACAACUGAACGAAAACAAACAACGAAUUCUAAUAGUAUAUCUAUGUAUAUACUUUUAUAUUAUAUAGAUAGUUACAUACGGUGACAAAUGAAAAUGGGAAAUAUUCCGAUGAUGUGCCGUGCCGGAAACAAAAAAAAGCGAGAAAGAAAAAAAGCUGCCGGUUAAAUCAUCCGGAUCGCGUAGGUACCUAUGUAAAUUCGCCUCGUAUAAUAUAAUAUUUUGACGGGUAAAAAUAAGUCUC